AUUGAACGCUGGCGGCAGGCCUAACACAUGCAAGUCGAACGAGUGGCAGACGGGUGAGUAAUGUCUGGGAAACUGCCCGAUGGAGGGGGAUAACUCCUGGAAACGGUAGCUAAUACCGCAUACCAUCGGAUGUGCCCAGAUGGGAUUAGCUAGUAGGUGGGGUAACGGCUCACCUAGGCGACGAUCCCUAGCUGGUCUGAGAGGAUGACCAGCCACACUGGAACUGAGAUGCGGUCAAGAGGCCUACGGGAGGAAGCAGUGGCGAAUAUUGCACAAUGGGCGAAAGCCUGAUGCAGACAUGGCGCGUGUAUGAGGAAGGCCUUCGGGUAGUAAAGUACUUUCAGCGGGGAGGCGUUACCCGCAGAAGAAGCACCGGCUAACUCCGUGCCAGCAGCCGCGGUAAUUC
rnacentral:rRNA from 1 species